rnacentral:rRNA from 1 species
AAUCAACGCUGGCGGCGUGCCUCAGACAUGCAAGUCGAACGCGAAAGUUUCCUUCGGGAGAUGAGUAGAGUGGCGCACAGGUGAGUAACACGUGAGUAAUUUACCUUCGGGUGGGGAAUACUAACCGGAAACGGUUGUUAAUACCGCAUAAUGCAGCGGCAUCAAUGAUGACAGUUGUUAAAAGCGGGGGAUUGGAGCAAUCCGACCUCGCGCCUGAAGAGAAGCCGCGGCAGAUUAGCUAGUUGGUAAGGUAAUGGCUUACCAAGGCGACGAUCUGUAACCGGCCUGAGAGGGCGGUCGGUCACACUGACACUGAAUAACGGGUCAGACUCCUACGGGAGGCAGCAGUCGGGAAUUUUGGGCAAUGGGCGC